UGGAACAUGUCUAGAGACCACAAUUGUUUACGAAGAAGAGAGACUAGAGAAAAUAAAAAUGUAAGCGGUGAGCAGAAAAUGAGUUAACAGGAGGCGAUUCAAAAGUGAUGCCAACUGUAAUGAUUUUGUGAAGAAAUCGUAUCUUGUUUGGUUGAAAGUCCGUUUAAUGGCAGAUGGGAAGGGAAUGCUACAAUAUUUCGAGUGAGGUUGUUGAGGCAAAGAAAGGUGUGAUUUCUCCCUCCAUUCCCUUGACUCUCCAAUAUGGCACACCACAACCACUCCACAACUCUUCGAGUUUUCUGCGUCGGAACCCUCGACACCAAGCUCCACGAGCUCCGAUUCCUCUCCGAUUCACUUCGCUCCAACCUCCACCGCUUCUCCUCCUCCUCCUCCAAGGUAGAGGUGGUGGUGGUUGAUGUCUCUACUGGUUCGAAUGCGCCACAAAGUUUGCAAGAUUUCCCGUUUAUUUCCAGGAAUGACGUUGUCUCUUCCUACAACACUGGGACAAACGAACCCUUGCUUCUCCCGGAUGACAGGGGCAAGGCGGUUGCCGCGAUGAGCCAGGCAUUUGAGCAGUUCUUGAAGAAGUCUCAUGAGGAUCAAUGUCUUGUUGGUGUUAUUGGUGUUGGGGGGAGUGGGGGUACGUCACUGCUGUCGUCUCCCUUCACCUCUCUCCCGAUUGGGAUCCCCAAGGUCAUCGUCUCCACAGUGGCCAGCGGUCAAACUGAACCUUAUGUUGGAACCUCAGAUUUGGUUUUGUUCCCAUCUGUUGUGGACAUUGCAGGCAUCAACAGGGUUAGCAGACUGAUCUUGUCUAAUGCCGCGGCUGCAUUUGCUGGGAUGGUUGUUGGAAGGAUUCAGAGCUUAAAGGAUUCUUCUAGCGUUGAAGAUAAACCUACAGUUGGGAUAACUAUGUUUGGAGUUACUACUCCUUGUGUUAAUGCUGUCCAGGAUAGGUUGCAUAAAGAAGGUUAUGAGACCCUGGUUUUCCAUGCAACUGGGGUUGGUGGCAGGGCCAUGGAGAAUUUGGUUAGAGAGGGGUUUAUACAGGGUGUUUUUGACAUCACAACGACAGAGGUAGCAGACUACAUAGUUGGAGGUGUAAUGGCUUGUGACAGUUCUCGUUUUGAUGCCAUCAUAGAAAAUAAAAUCCCGUUAGUUUUGAGUGUGGGGGCAUUAGACAUGGUGAACUUUGGAGCAAAAGAUACUAUACCAUCGAAAUUUCAGCAGAGAAAUAUAUAUGAACACAAUAAACAGGUUUCACUCAUGCGAACAACAGUAGAUGAGAACAAAAAAUUUGCUGAUUUCAUAGCAAAGAAACUGCAGACUUCAUCAUCUAAGAUUUGUGUGUGCCUUCCAGAGAAGGGCGUAUCUGCUUUAGAUGCACCUGGGAAGCCUUUCUGUGAUCCAGAUGCAACUGGUACUCUUCUUCGUGAAUUACAAAACCUUAUUGCGACUAAUGGUGAUAGACAGGUAAAGGUGUAUCCUCAUCAUAUUAAUGACCUUGAAUUUGCAAAUGCAUUGGUUGAUGCAUUUUUAGAGAUUAAUGAGAAAACUAGUACAGAUUCUACUCAACAACAAGUUGUCAAUCCUGAAUCUGUUGAACAAUUUAAUGAAGGUUAUGUUUCAAAUGCAUCAAGCUUUGGGACCAUCGUCUAUCCACCUAGUGAAUUCCCAGAAGCUAGAACAGAAACUUUGGAGAAAACACAGCUCAUAUUACAGCAACUGAAACAUCAAAUAGAUAAAGGAAUUCCUAUAAUAGGAGCUGGUGCAGGGACUGGUAUAUCUGCCAAGUUUGAAGAAGCUGGAGGGGUUGAUCUAAUAGUUUUGUACAACUCUGGGCGCUUCCGAAUGGCUGGAAGAGGUUCAUUAGCCGGAUUAUUACCUUUUGCUGAUGCUAAUGCUGUUGUUCUCGACAUGGCCAAUGAAGUUUUGCCAGUGGUAAAGAAGGUUCCAGUUCUUGCUGGUGUAUGUGCAACUGAUCCCUUCCGCAGAAUGGAUUACUUUCUUAGACAGGUGGAGUCUACUGGAUUCUCUGGGGUACAAAACUUUCCUACAGUAGGGUUAUUUGAUGGGAAUUUUCGACAAAAUCUUGAAGAAACGGGAAUGGGAUAUAGCUUGGAAGUUCAGAUGAUCCAGAAAGCCCAUAAAAUGGGUCUCUUGACAACUCCAUAUGCAUUCAAUCAACAUGAAGCUAUUGAAAUGGCUAAAGUCGGCGCUGAUAUUAUAGUUGCCCAUAUGGGUCUAACUACAACAGGCUCCAUAGGUGCAAAAACAGCUGUUUCACUUGACGAAAGUGUAAUUCGUGUACAAGCUAUUGCAGAAGCAGCACACAGCACCAAUCCCAAUGUCAUCGUGUUGUGCCAUGGAGGUCCAAUAUCUGGUCCAAAGGAAGCGGAAUUCAUAUUAAAGAGAACCAAAGGAGUCCAUGGGUUUUAUGGGGCUUCAAGUAUAGAAAGACUUCCGGUAGAGCAGGCUAUUACAAAUACAGUUAAAGAGUACAAGUCAAUUUCUAUUCAUUAAGUGGGCCACUAAAAAAGACACAAGACUACCUACCCUCCACCUAUAUAUACUGUGGUUGUUUCAUAUGAAACCAUACACGAAUUUUGUUAGAGGAAGCGGUUGGUUUCUUCCCACUCAUUGUUCCAACAAGCAGCUAGUUAUUCUUGUGAUUUCUCCCAAAGUUUGAACAGGACACACAUCAUCUACCACCAGAUAUAGACUACUCUCUGCUGUUUUGUUCGUAUCAAGCCUUCCCUUUCUUGUAAAUCUCCAUGACCUUCUUUUAUGACUCUAGCAUAGUUUUGCUCAAGGACUUCAAAGUUAUUGGGCAACCGCUCCUUAGCCUGGGUAUGUGUGCCUUCUUUUCUAAGCAAGUGUCUGAAUCAUCAAGGGUCCACCUACGGAGGAGUAUCUUUUAAUUGUCGUUUAUAGAAGAAAAGAAGAAUAGGAAUCUUGGUAUGACAUAAAAUACUCACGUAUAACCACCAGCAAGCCUGUGUAAAAAGACUAACAUUGUCACUUUUGCCAUAUUGAUCCCAAGGCAUGUCCUAGGCCCUGAUCCGAAAGGUAUGAAACUGUAUGGCUUUUGAUGUUCCUGCAGAUAUGAGACGAAAAGUAAUUUCUUGACACAAGGACGUGGCAAAAAAAAUCAGAGAAAGAGCCAAAAUAAGUGGAGAGAAAGCUAAUUACAUCAAAUCUUUGUGGGUUGAAUUUCAACGGAUCAUUGUACAAAUCAGAGUCGUGAUGUAUGUAAGUUGCAUCGAUGUUAACAUGCCAACCUUUCUUUAUGUCAUACCCUGUGUGGUUAGUAACAUAGUCAUAGAAGGCCAGAAAAACUAAUGACGCCCUCCUAUAAUUAAGCAAACCAUAAUGAACAUAAUUGUCUUGAUAUCUUCAAAGGAGUUGAGUAAACUCACCUUCGAUCGUGCAGUCUUGAAGUGCGACACGAGGAAACCAUAGCAGGACAUUGGACAUUCUCAAUGUUUCCUUGACUACCUGGAUAGAACACGAAUUGAUUCUUGACUUUGAACUUUUAUCGUGGGAGCUUCCAGUUUAGAUAGACAAGCAAUCAUUUCAUAGCAUGUGCAUCAUUUCUAAAGUA